AUUGAACGCUGGCGGCAGGCCUAACACAUGCAAGUCGAGCGGAGCGGCGGACGGGUGAGUAAUGCCUAGGAAUCUGCCUGGUAGUGGGGGAUAACGUCCGGAAACGGGCGCUAAUACCGCAUACUAUCAGAUGAGCCUAGGUCGGAUUAGCUAGUUGGUGGGGUAAAGGCCUACCAAGGCUACGAUCCGUAACUGGUCUGAGAGGAUGAUCAGUCACACUAGAACUUGGACACGGUCCAGACUCCUACGGGAGGCAGCAGUGGGGAAUAGUGGACAAUGGGCGAAAGCCUGAGCCAGCCAUGCCGCGUGUGUGAAGAAGGUCUUCGGAUGGUAAAGCACUUUUAGGUGUGAGGCGUUACCAACAGAAUAAGCACCGGCUAACUUCGUGCCAGCAGCCGCGGUAAUAC
rnacentral:rRNA from 1 species